AUUGAACGCUGGCGGCAUGCUUUACACAUGCAAGUCGAACGGUAACAGGGUGCUUGCACCGCUGACGAGUGGCGAACGGGUGAGUAAUGCGUCGGAACGUGCCGAGUAGUGGGGGAUAACGCAGCGAAAGUUGUGCUAAUACCGCAUACGUACUGAGGUAGAAAGUGGGGGACCUUCGGGCCUCACGCUAUUCGAGCGGCCGACGUCUGAUUAGCUAGUAGGUGAGGUAAAGGCUCACCUAGGCGACGAUCAGUAGCGGGUCUGAGAGGAUGAUCCGCCACACUGGGACUGAGACACGGCCCAGACUCCUACGGGAGGCAGCGGUGGGGAAUUUUGGACAAUGGGCGAAAGCCUGAUCCAGCCAUGCCGCGUGUCUGAAGAAGGCCUUCGGGUUGUAAAGGACUUUUGUCAGGGAGGAAAUCCCUAGUGCUAAUAACACUGGGGGAUGACAGUACCUGAAGAACAAGCACCGGCUAACUACGUGCCAGCCGCCGCAGUAA
rnacentral:rRNA from 1 species